UGCAUUCACUACUGUAAGUCACUCUGGAUAAGAGCGUCUGCUAAAAUGUAAUAAC
rfam:Salmo salar isolate Sally breed double haploid chromosome ssa23, whole genome shotgun sequence.